CUUUUUUUUCUGUUUCUAUUAAGGAUUCGGUCUACCAGCUGGACCAGAAGUGAGGUUCCUGAGAGGUUCAGCACCUGCCGUGUAGGAAGCAGGAGCUACAAGCUCUGUUUUACUCGAUUGAUAUGGAAGUGAGUUUCCACCCAGCUUUGGAAAGCACAUAGGCAACACAGAAGGCAGCUGGAAAUCAGAGUAAAAUUCUAUCUUAACUGUCAAAGAAUCUGAAAGAUAAACAAGCAGGUUUGGAUGACAUUCUAUUUUCUCAUUGACCAAGUUCAAGAACUCAUUCACUGCUGGAGGCAGAAGGGUGCGUGAGGUCACGUGAGGGCAUCUCCCCCCGAGCCACAGUUCCAUCUACAUUAUCCUAGGCAGAGAGAGGUGGGUGUGGCAUGUUGCCCUUGGCUAUACAGCCUGGCUCAACCUGUUUACAAAGCAUUCGAAGUGUUAAGAGUGUCCCCAGGAUGAGGCAAGACCAAGACCGAGCUCCCUCCAAAACUUUUUAUUGUUCUUUGC